rnacentral:rRNA from 1 species
GAUAAACGCUGGCGGCGCACAUAAGACAUGCAAGUCGAACGGACUUAACCUAUAGUUUACUAUUGGAGCGGUUAGUGGCGGACUGGUGAGUAACGCGUAAGCAAUCUGCCUAUCAGAGGGGAAUAACAGUGAGAAAUCACUGCUAAUACCGCAUAAGCUGUGAGUAUCGCAUGAUACAAGCAGAAAAGGAGCAAUCCGCUGAUAGAUGGGCUUGCGUCUGAUUAGUUAGUUGGUAGGGUAACGGCUUACCAAGGCGACGAUCAGUAGCCGACCUGAGAGGGUGACCGGCCACAUUGGGACUGAGACACGGCCCAA